CCUACCAUCAAAACAUAAAAGAGAAGUAAGAAAAGGAGAUCAUCAAAAUGGCUUCGGGUAGAGUUUGUUUGUUCAUUGGCGUUCUUUGCCUCAUCGCUCUUUGCUUCGCGGAAACAUCAGUCGCGGAAGGAUCUCCUUGGACAUUGGACGUAGGGCCGUGUUCAAAAUACCCGGACUGCAACGGGUAUUGCAAAAAAACUUAUGGGCUUAGCAUUACAGGGUUUUGCAAGAUAAAUAAAGCCGGACUCAAUCGUUGUUAUUGCUCGUUUACUUAGAUGAAAUUACAUAACUUUGAGCCACGACAAAAUGUUUGUUAUCAUGGUUUUGAUUGCUAUGAAUAAAACUGCCGUCUUCCGUACAACUUUUCUCAAUGAA